rnacentral:lncRNA from 1 species
UGUGAAAGAGCCAACCCUCAAGUGUCCAAGUUCAGAGGGAGCUCAUGGGUCCUAAGUCAAGGCUCACAGGGGGGGAACAACUUAGGUUCUAAGAACAAGUGCCAGUGCAAAUAGAGGGAGUUAGCGAGUGCCAAGGCAGACUGGUGGUCAUGCCCAGCCAUAUAGUAGGUUGGCAUACCCCUGACCAACCUGUCAACCAAUCAAUUAUGAGUAAUGACCUAUUGAAGGUCAGGCCAUGGUCUGGGCGGUGAUUAGGACACUGUCAGACCAAAGCCUCAUAGUCAUCAAUAUAUAAAGGGAAAUGGGAUGGGAAUUGAAAAAACUCAGAACUUAGAGGGUCCAGUUCAUAUCCACGGACAACGAUAUCAUGUAUUUCCAUGUUUUGAACAAUAACUCGACCAUAUAAAGGGAAUUAGGGGUAGGGAUUAAUAUAGGAGCAAAACAAAGAAACAAACAAACUUGCAGAAGUUGUAGUGUAAACCGUAAGCGAACAAGAGAUGAACUAAAUAAUAAACACAUAGGGGGAGAGGCAGAAAUUAAACAAGAACAUACCAGUUUCAGAUAGAUAAGCAAAGAAAAGCAGGAUUCUUUCAAGCAAAGCCACAAUAAGAGAAAACACUUUAUGCUUGUGAGUUUAGAGAACUCGAGUGUUUAUGAAAAUUCUGGAGUCUAAGUGUAUUUGAAAGUAUUUAGUGAGAAGUAAUCAGAAUUGAUC